rnacentral:rRNA from 1 species
UUGUUGGGUAGGGGAGCGUUCUGUAAGCCUGCGAAGGUGGCCUGUGAGGGUUGCUGGAGGUAUCAGAAGUGCGAAUGCUGACAUAAGUAACGAUAAAGCGGGUGAAAAGCCCGCUCGCCGGAAGACCAAGGGUUCCUGUCCAACGUUAAUCGGGGCAGGGUGAGUCGACCCCUAAGGCGAGGCCGAAAGGCGUAGUCGAUGGGAAACGGGUUAAUAUUCCCGUACUUGGUGUUACUGCGAAGGGGGGACGGAGAAGGCUAUGUUGGCCGGGCGACGGUUGUCCCGGUUUAAGCGUGUAGGUGUGUGUUCCAGGUAAAUCCGGUUCACUUUAACACUGAGGCGUGAUGACGAGGCACUACGGUGCUGAAGCAACAAAUGCCCUGCUUCCAGGAAAAGCCUCUAAGCAUCAGGUAACACGAAAUCGUACCCCAAACCGACACAGGUGGUCAGGUAGAGAAUACCAAGGCGCUUGAGAGAACUCGGGUGAAGGAACUAGGCAAAAUGGUGCCGUAACUUCGGGAGAAGGCACGCUGACACGUAGGUGAAGUGAUUUACUCAUGGAGCUGAAGUCAGUCGAAGAUACCAGCUGGCUGCAACUGUUUAUUAAAAACACAGCACUGUGCAAACACGAAAGUGGACGUAUACGGUGUGACGCCUGCCCGGUGCCGGAAGGUUAAUUGAUGGGGUCAGCGCAAGCGAAGCUCCUGAUCGAAGCCCCGGUAAACGGCGGCCGUAACUAUAACGGUCCUAAGGUAGCGAAAUUCCUUGUCGGGUAAGUUCCGACCUGCACGAAUGGCGUAAUGAUGGCCAGGCUGUCUCCACCCGAGACUCAGUGAAAUUGAACUCGCUGUGAAGAUGCAGUGUACCCGCGGCAAGACGGAAAGACCCCGUGAACCUUUACUAUAGCUUGACACUGAACAUUGAGCCUUGAUGUGUAGGAUAGGUGGGAGGCUUUGAAGUGUGGACGCCAGUCUGCAUGGAGCCGACCUUGAAAUACCACCCUUUAAUGUUUGAUGUUCUAACGUGGACCCGUUACCCGGGUUGCGGACAGUGUCUGGUGGGUAGUUUGACUGGGGCGGUCUCCUCCUAAAGAGUAACGGAGGAGCACGAAGGUUGGCUAAUCCUGGUCGGACAUCAGGAGGUUAGUGCAAUGGCAUAAGCCAGCUUGACUGCGAGCGUGACGGCGCGAGCAGGUGCGAAAGCAGGUCAUAGUGAUCCGGUGGUUCUGAAUGGAAGGGCCAUCGCUCAACGGAUAAAAGGUACUCCGGGGAUAACAGGCUGAUACCGCCCAAGAGUUCAUAUCGACGGCGGUGUUUGGCACCUCGAUGUCGGCUCAUCACAUCCUGGGGCUGAAGUAGGUCCCAAGGGUAUGGCUGUUCGCCAUUUAAAGUGGUACGCGAGCUGGGUUUAGAACGUCGUGAGACAGUUCGGUCCCUAUCUGCCGUGGGCGCUGGAGAACUGAGGGGGGCUGCUCCUAGUACGAGAGGACCGGAGUGGACGCAUCACUGGUGUUCGGGUUGUCAUGCCAAUGGCACUGCCCGGUAGCUAAAUGCGGAAGAGAUAAGUGCUGAAAGCAUCUAAGCACGAAACUUGCCCCGAGAUGAGUUCUCCCUGAGACUUAGAGUCUCCUGAAGGAACGUUGAAGACGACGACGUUGAUAGGCCGGGUGUGUAAGCGCAGCGAUGCGUUGAGCUAACCGGUACUAAUGAACCGUGAGGCUUAACCUUACAACGCCGAAG